UACAGAGGUCCCAAGCGUUGUUCGGAUUCACUGGGCGUAAAGGGUGCGUAGGCGGUCGGGUAAGUCUGUCGUGAAAUCUCCGAGCCCAACUCGGAAACUGCGUCGGAUACUAUUCGGCUAGAGGAAUGGAGGGGAGACUGGAAUUCCUGGUGUAGCGGUGAAAUGCGCAGAUAUCAGGAAGAACACCCGUGGCUAAGGCGGCUCUCUAGUACGGUACUGACGCUGAGACGCGAAAGCGUGGGGAGCGAACAGG
rnacentral:rRNA from 1 species